AAAAAAAAAAAAACCCUAAAAAAAAAAAAAAAACAGUUCAUUCAUAACUCGGAGGAGUUUCAAUUGACUCGUCCUUCCCACCACUGUGUUGACUCCGAGUUGUAGAUGUUUAUCCUGAGUCGAGCAGUUCCUCCCAAUUCACCUGUUCUUUCUCCUCUUCCUCUUUCGAUUUCAUCAUUUCCAACAAUCUCCUUGCCUUUUCCUUGGUUUGUUCUCUUCCUGAAUUCUCCAAUUGAGAGAAUACCUCUACUGCUCCGGCCGCCUUCGCCAGCCCUGUGAAUCUCAAACCACAGUGACUCAGUGCGAACAACACAGACACACAGCUUUCCCGAGUUGACUCAGAUUCUAACUCAUUAUCCCUCAACAAACCCAGCAAACAGUCCACCCCGCCCGAAUCCAACAUUGCGGCCUGCCCGUCCAGACACGAAGCCAAGCUACAUAAUAUGAGCAAAACCCGAUUUCUCAUGUGACCCGAUUUGAUCAAACCCAAAAGAAUUGGCACGGCACCGAGUUUAAUGAGCUUACUCCGAUUGCUUUGAACGAGUGAGAGAUGAUAUAAAGCCAAGGCUGAGUCAUGACGAGUCCACUCACUCUCGGAUCGGAGCAAGUGCAGGAGUGGAGGCAAAGCACCCAGAACCCCAAUUGCAGUCUUGUUAUGGUCUUCGAGGGCUAAACUGAAGAUUGCACCACAGGCAUGCUCUUUGGCCUCUGGAAAUCCUCCCUUCAACACAUCGAUCAGCGCAGGAACAAUCCCUGAUCUUACGAUCUUAACUUUGUUCACUUUCUCUAGAGAAAGAUUAACCAAACAAGCAGUUGAGUUCACUUGAAUAUUAGUGUAUCUUGAAUUGAUCAAAGAUCGCAGCACUGACAAUAAUCGAGGAGUACAGAGCUCCACUCUUGUAUCUUCUUCGGUUCUUGUGAUCUUUCUCAGUGAAAUGACAGCUUCUUCAAUCUCAAAAACUUGUGGGCUUUUGAGUUUUGUGAUGAGCUCUUCUACUUCCGGGUUGGAGUUGAGGUUUAAGGUUUCCAUUUCUGAGGAGGAAGAAGAAGAUGGGCAGAAACUAGGCCGAGUCGUGAACUGCAGCGGAGGGGUCGAAGCGUUGGUGUCCACUGAUUCCUCAGAGCUGGAGGAUAAAUGGGAUGGAGGAAGCGUCAAUUCAAUUGCUGCUUGAUUCAUGAAAUUUACUGAAGGGCACUGUUUAAUCCUCUGAAUCAAACCUUUCUCUUCUUGUUGGGCGUCCAUUUUUGCACGGACGAGCUUCUCUGCAGAGAAGAAAUCAAGAGCUUGUGGAGGCUUUACAGAGUUCUUGUUGCACCAGUUGAGAAUGGCAGACUUGAGAGCAAGAUUGGGAAUAACAGUAGAGAAAUCAGGAAUGGUACCAUCCAUUAGAGUGGGAAUAAAAGCAAGGGAAUUACAGGCUUGGACACAAGAACGCUCAAAGGAGUGACCGGAGGAGACAAUAACAGGGUCAUUCAUUAGACAUUCACAAAUGGGACAAAGAAACUCUCGGGGGAUUUCUUGCUUUGAUAAUCUGCGAAAGGAGAAGACUUUCCAUUUCUGCUUUUCACUUUGUUUGUGGGUUUCAACAAAAAAUCCUUUCUUUACAGGCUUGUGUAUGAUCAGCCUCAUAAGAGCUUCCUGAAACUCCAUGGCAGGGACUUUUCUUCUUCUUCUUUAGUACUAUAGAUUGGAUAUAACAUAGAAAUAAUGCGAGAGACGUUGCGAAUCCAUGGCUUCAAAAUCAGAUGCUUGAGCCAAAAACGGGAAGCAUAGUUUGCUUUAGAUUAGUGAAGACCAAGUCCAGGGAAGAGGAAGAGAGUUUGUUAGGGUUUGUGUGAGCAAAUGCGAUGCUUUGAUGUUGCUUCUGGGGGAUCUG
rnacentral:misc_RNA from 1 species